UACAGAGGGUGCGAGCGUUGUUCGGAAUUAUUGGGCGUAAAGAGCGUGUAGGCGGUCCGGUAAGUCAGCUGUGAAAGUCAAGGGCUCAACCCUUGAAUGCCGGUUGAUACUGUCGGGCUAGAGUCCGGAAGAGGCGAGUGGAAUUCCCGGUGUAGCGGUGAAAUGCGCAGAUAUCGGGAGGAACACCAAUGGCGAAGGCAGCUCGCUGGGACGGUACUGACGCUGAGACGCGAAAGCGUGGGGAGCAAACAGG
rnacentral:rRNA from 1 species